rnacentral:rRNA from 1 species
AGAGAACAACAGGGAUUGCCCUAGUAACGGCGAGUGAAGCGGCAACAGCUCAAAUUUGAAAUCUGGCUCUUUUAGGGUCCGAGUUGUAAUUUGCAGAGGGCGCUUUGGCUUUGGCAGCGGUCCAAGUUCCUUGGAACAGGACGUCACAGAGGGUGAGAAUCCCGUACGUGGUCGCUAGCUAUUGCCGUGUAAAGCCCCUUCGACGAGUCGAGUUGUUUGGGAAUGCAGCUCUAAAUGGGAGGUAAAUUUCUUCUAAAGCUAAAUAUUGGCCAGAGACCGAUAGCGCACAAGUAGAGUGAUCGAAAGAUGAAAAGCACUUUGGAAAGAGAGUCAAACAGCACGUGAAAUUGUUGAAAGGGAAGCGCUUGCAGCCAGACUUGCUUGCAGUUGCUCAUCCGGGCUUUUGCCCGGUGCACUCUUCUGUAGGCAGGCCAGCAUCAGUUUGGGCGGUGGGAUAAAGGUCUCUGUCACGUACCUCUCUUCGGGGAGGCCUUAUAGGGGAGGCGACAUACCACCAGCCUAGACUGAGGUCCGCGCAUCUGCUAGGAUGCUGGCGUAAUGGCUGUAAGCGGCCCGUCUUGAAACACGGACCAAGGAGUCUAACAUCUAUGCGAGUGUUUGGGUGUCAAGCCCGAGCGCGUAAUGAAAGUGAACGGAGGUGGGAACCCGCAAGGGUGCACCAUCGACCGAUCCUGAAGUUUUCGGAAGGAUUUGAGUAAGAGCAUGGCUGUUGGGACCCGAAAGAUGGUGAACUAUGCUUGAAUAGGGUGAAGCCAGAGGAAACUCUGGUGGAGGCUCGCAGCGGUUCUGACGUGCAAAUCGAUCGUCAAAUUUGGGCAUAGGGGCGAAAGACUAAUCGAACUAUCUAGUAGCUGGUUCCUGCCGAAUUUCCCCCUCGGGAA